UGGGGAAUUUUGGACAAUGGGCGAAAGCCUGAUCCAGCAAUGCCGCGUGUGUGAAGAAGGCCUUCGGGUUGUAAAGCACUUUUUGUCCGGAAAGAAAUCCUUGGCUCUAAUACAGUCGGGGGAUGACGGUACCGGAAGAAUAAGCACCGGCUAACUACGUGCCAGCAGCCGCGGUAAUACGUAGGGUGCAAGCGUUAAUCGGAAUUACUGGGCGUAAAGCGUGCGCAGGCGGUUUGCUAAGACCGAUGUGAAAUCCCCGGGCUCAACCUGGGAACUGCAUUGGUGACUGGCAGGCUAGAGUAUGGCAGAGGGGGGUAGAAUUCCACGUGUAGCAGUGAAAUGCGUAGAGAUGUGGAGGAAUACCGAUGGCGAAGGCAGCCCCCUGGGCCAAUACUGACGCUCAUGCACG
rnacentral:rRNA from 1 species